UUUCCGUAGGUGAACCUGCGGAAGGAUCAUUAUCGUACAAAAUGUGAGGGGCAUGCGAGGGCUGUCGCUGACCAAAAGUCGUGCACGCCCGAGUGUGUCCUCUUGCAUAAUAAUCCAUCUCACCCUUUGUGCAUCACCGCGUGGGCACCCUUCGGGAUCAUCUCGGAGGGGGGCUCGCGUUUUCACACAAACCCCCCUUUUAAAAGUGUAGAAUGACCACAUUUAUGCAAUCAAUACAACUUUCAACAACGGAUCUCUUGGCUCUC
rnacentral:misc_RNA from 1 species